CUUGGACAUGGGGGCACCCUGACCGCGACGCCGCGUGGGGGAUGAAGGCCUUCGGGUUGUAAACCCCUGUCAGGUGGGACGAAGGCGCGGGGGAGGCAAUGCUCCCGGGCGUGACGGUACCAUCAGAGGAAGUCCCGGCUAACUCCGUGCCAGCAGCCGCGGUAAUACGGAGGGGACGAGUGUUGUUCGGAAUUACUGGGCGUAAAGGGCGCGUAGGCGGCGCGGCCAGUCGCGUGUGAAAGCCCUCCGCUCAGCGGAGGAAGGGCGCGCGAGACUACCGUGCUGGAGGGCGGGAGAGGGCAGUGGAACUCUCGGUGUAGGGGUGGAAUCGGUAGAGAUCGAGAGGAACACCGGUGGCGAAGGCGGCUGCCUGGCCCGUACCUGACGCUGAGGCGCGAAAG
rnacentral:rRNA from 1 species